GAUGAACGCUGGCGGCGUGCCUAAUACAUGCAAGUCGAGCGAACAGACGAGGAGCUUGCUCCUCUGACGUUAGCGGCGGACGGGUGAGUAACACGUGGAUAACCUACCUAUAAGACCGGGAUAACUUCGGGAAACCGGAGCUAAUACCGGAUAAUAUAUUGAACCGCAUGGUUCAAUAGUGAAAGACGGUUUUGCUGUCACUUAUAGAUGGAUCCGCGCCGCAUUAGCUAGUUGGUAAGGUAACGGCUUACCAAGGCAACGAUGCGUAGCCGACCUGAGAGGGUGAUCGGCCACACUGGAACUGAGACACGGUCCAGACUCCUACGGGAGGCAGCAGUAAGGAAUCUUCCGCAAUGGGCGAAAGCCUGACGGAGCAACGCCGCGUGAGUGAUGAAGGUCUUCGGAUCGUAAAACUCUGUUAUUAGGGAAGAACAAAUGUGUAAGUAACUAUGCACGUCUUGACGGUACCUAAUCAGAAAGCCACGGCUAACUACGUG
rnacentral:rRNA from 1 species